UUCAAAAACCAUCCAGGAGAAAGGCAAGCGCAACACAAACCACCUUCAGGUAUACUAAACAAACCUUGUUCUUUGGCUUUGCUGGCGGUAUACAAACAAGAUCUGGAAAAACAUCAAAAUGGACCCCCAAAAGAGAAAAGCCAAAAAAGGAAACGUUAGUCCAUAACCCACAGGAAAAUGAUAAGAGAAGCUUGCAACUAAGUACUGCAAAAUGAUUACAAUUGGAUGUCAUCCAAAUUUCAAAGAUUUGGCCAGUCUGGUUCACAUGAUUUUGCCGUUCUGCUGGGAAAUAUUGCUACCUUUGACCAGAUGCUCAUAGUAGUGACAUAUGCUAGAUAUAUAAUACCCUAAUUCCUCCUGUCAGAUAAAAUUCAGAAGGUACUCUGAAUCAGCAAAGGAGGAAGUAAAGUUAAGCCACAGGAUUCUCUACCAUCUUGCCACAGGUAGGCAUUUGCAGACCUGGCAGCUCGAUCUCCGGUAGAGCCCAGGUUGAACAUCAUUGAGAAAGCUCAGCCUCUGCCACAGCCUUCCCCCUCCAUCUAUCCAGUGUGCUCACAUGCCUGGUGGUGAUAAAACCUUUUCACCUAGGCGCUCAAAAGAACCUGGUGCAACAGAUACAACCACUAUUGCCUGGGACCACUCCUGACACACCCUUUCCAGAGCUAUUGACACAUUCUUCUUCCUGAGUUGGACAAUUCCAAUUGCAUUUAGUGGGGAUUGCAAAGUGGGAACUUCAAACACCAAGCAAUGGUCCACAAGGGGACUGUAUCACACCGUGCACAGGCAGAUUUGAAUGAGACCAUCAGGAACUGCCUUAGGGAACCUGCAACAUUGCUGCUACCUGGACCGAAUGAAGACAAGGACUCUGACUUAGAAGGACCCCUCCACACACACACCAUGACUUUAAAGGAUAGCGAACAAUUUCAUGGAGAACAGCAACCUGAGUUGGCAGCUGAGUGCCUACCUUCAGGGAAAUGGG
rnacentral:lncRNA from 1 species